GGUACUGGUGGUAAAAUGGUCUUUGGCUCAGGAACAAAGCUGAUGGUUCAAAAAGAGGAGGAAAGAGGUCCUUCCGUCUAUGAACUGGAAAAAGAUGAAACCAAAGUGUGUCUGGCUUCGGGAUUCAGCAGGUACAAUGCUCUACGUGGAAUGGAACCGUUCCAAGAUUACAACAAGUCCGGGCCCACCAGGAUCGGAGGUGACCCAUACUUCGAUAAAGUACAUAUCCUGGGAGAGAAUGACAACUGCCCAACUAAUGAAACAGAUGCCAAACCAUGUAAUUCGGAUUUCAAGGGUGUUUUUGAAACUGAUAAGAAUAUUAAUUUCCUGUCGCUAACGGUUCUCGGCCUGAGGUUCCUGUUUCUGAAGAGCAUCCUGUUCAACGUGCUGAUGACGAUUCGCGCGUGGUCCAGUUAAGGAGACGGACUUUCUGUACCAACGACACGGAGACCCGACACCAAGGCCACAGAUGCACCGAAUGGAACAAAAGAUUGCAAUACAAACAGUGGAUUAGCGUCGUUAGCAAUAGCAGCAAAAGUAUAAGAUGCUUUAUUGAGUUCAUUCUUUUUAACUAUUUUACAAUUUGUAUUCUACCUUUUUGAAGAAUGUUCCCCUUACAUAUGUAUUUCUUGUUUUAUAUCAUGUAUUAGUAAUAAAGAAAUGGCAGUUUAUUAUCUUGUAUUAUAAAUAUGGCUGUCACUAUAUUAGUAGAUGGUGGUGUAUUUUGCUUUUUAAAGGGGAAAGUUAACCGUAGCUCAACAUCCAGUGACUGAUCUGCCCUCAUGCUUUGGACCUGUUGGUUGUGGAUGUUAAUAGGUAUGAGGAGCUCACAGCCAUAAAUGUGUGAAGAUGAUUAUGCUUUUCCCCCUGUUGCACACCUCACGUCUCAUUUUAUGCCGAAAUGUUUGAACCACAUCCUGUUCUUUGGUCUUCUCAUUCAUUUUGAUUGUCCUUGUACAUUUUUUGACUGAUUAAUAAAGCUUUACAAACAUUUGACAA